AACGAACGCUGGCGGCAGGCCUAACACAUGCAAGUCGAGCGAGGACUUCGGUCCUAGCGGCGGACGGGUGAGUAACGCGUGGGAACGUGCCCUUUGCUACGGAAUAGCCCUGGGAAACUGGGAGUAAUACCGUAUGUGCCCUUCGGGGGAAAGAUUUAUCGGCAAAGGAUCGGCCCGCGUUGGAUUAGGUAGUUGGUGGGGUAAUGGCCUACCAAGCCGACGAUCCAUAGCUGGUUUGAGAGGAUGAUCAGCCACACUGGGACUGAGACACGGCCCAGACUCCUACGGGAGGCAGCAGUGGGGAAUCUUAGACAAUGGGCGCAAGCAUGAUCUAGCCAUGCCGCGUGAGCGAUGAAGGCCUUAGGGUUGUAAAGCUCUUUCAGUGGGGAAGAUAAUGACGGUACCCACAGAAGAAGCCCCGGCUAACUCCGUGCCAGCAGCCGCCGUAAAAC
rnacentral:rRNA from 1 species